rnacentral:rRNA from 1 species
UCGCCUGUUUAUCAAAAACAUGUCUUUUUGAGUUAUUUUUAAAGUCUGACCUGCCCACUGAAUUUUUAAAUGGCCGCAGUAUUCUAACUGUGCAAAGGUAGCAUAAUCAUUAGUCUUUUAAUUGAAGGCUGGUAUGAACGGUUGGACGAGGUAUAAGCUGUUUCAUAUAAAUUUAUAAUAGAAUUUUAUAUUUUAGUCAAAAAGCUAAAAUAUUAUUAAAAGACGAGAAGACCCUAUAAAUCUUUAUAUUUUUUUUUAUUUAAAUUUUUUGGAUUUAUUUUAUUUUUAUAAUGGAGAAUAUUUUGUUGGGGUGAUGUUAAAAUUUAAUGAACUUUUAAUUAUAAAAAUCAUUAAUUUAUGAGUUAUUGAUCCAUUAGUAGUGAUUAUAAGAUUAAGUUACUUUAGGGAUAACAGCGUAAUUUUUUUGGAGAGUUCAUAUCGAUAAAAAAGUUUGCGACCUCGAUGUUGGAUUAAGAUAUAAUUUUAGGUGUAGCCGCUUAAAUGCUAAGUCUGUUCGACUUUUAAAUUCUUACGUGAUCUGAGUUCAGACCGGA